AGGGGGUUUGUCACUGACUCAGAACGAACGUUAGCGGUGUGGAUUAGGCAUGCAAGUCGUGCGCGAAAGCCUUCGGGCGAGUAGAGCGGCGAAAGGGUGAGUAACACGUAACCAACGUACCCCUCAGAUCGGGAUAACCACUGGAAACGGUGGGUAAUACCGAAUGGUCCUACGGGGAGACAUCUCCCUGAUGGUAAACGGUGGCUUCGGCUGCUGCUGAGGGAGCGGGUUGCGGCCUAUCAGCUUGUUGGUGGGGUAACGGCCUACCAAGGCAUUGACGGGUAGCGGGUCUGAGAGGAUGAUCCGUCACACUGGGACUGAGACACUGCCCAGACUCCUACGGGAGGCUGCAGUCGAGAAUCUUCCGCAAUGGGCGAAAGCCUGACGGAGCGACACCGCGUGCAGGAUGAAGGCCCUCGGGUUGUAAACUGCUGUCACGCUAUAGGAACCCACAGGUGUUAAUAGCGCCUGUGCUGACCAAAGCGAGAGGAAGUGCCGGCUAACUCCGUGCCAGCAGCCGCGGUAAUACGGAGGGCGCAAACGUUGUUCGGAAUCACUGGGCAUAAAGAGCACGUAGGCGGCUUGCUAAGUCGGAUGUGAAAUCCCUCGGCUCAACCGGGGAACUGCAUCCGAUACUGGCAGGCUCGAGGACGGUAGGGGUAAGUGGAACUCCAGGUGGAACGGUGAAAUGUGUAGAUAUCUGGAGGAACACCGGUGGCGAAAGCGGCUUACUGGACCGUCUCUGACGCUGAGGUGCGAAAGCUAGGGUAGCAAACGGGAUUAAUACCCCGUAGUCCUACCGUAAACGAUGGCCGUAGCCAAUGGACCUCCUAUGGGUUCAUUCCGUAGCUAAAUGUGUUAAGUGCCCCGCCUGGGAGUACGCUCGCAAGGUAAAACUCAAAGGAAUUGACGGGGUAUCACACAAGCGGUGGAGCAUGUGGUUAAUUCGAAGCAACGCGAAGAACCUUACCUGGCCUUGACAUUCAUGGAUUAGCUCUGUGAAAGCAGGGUGACAGCCCUUCGGGGCCGGAUCGUAUAGAGGUGCUGCAUGGCUGUCGUCAGCUCGUGUCGUGAGAUGUUGGGUUAAGUCCCGCAACGAGCGCAACCCUCGCCCUCUGUUGCUACCGGGUAAUGCCGGGCACUCUGAGGGGACUGCCCCGGUUAACGGGGAGGAAGGUGGGGAUGACGUCAAGUCCUCAUGGCCUUUAUGCCCAGGGCUACACACGUGCUACAAUGGUCAGGACAAAGGGCAGCUACCUCGCAAGAGGAUGCAAAUCCCAAAAACCUGAUCUUAGUUCGGAUGGUCGGCUGCAACUCGCCGGCCUGAAGCUGGAAUCGCUAGUAAUCGGAGAUCAGCACGCUCCGGUGAAUACGUUCCCGGGCCUUGUACACACCGCCCGUCACACCACGAAAGCUGCGUGUACCAGAAGUCGCUGGGCCAACCCCUUUUGGGGAGGUAGGUGCCGAAGGUGUGCGUGGUAAUUGGGGUAAAGUCGUAACAAGGUAACC
rnacentral:rRNA from 1 species